UACGUAGGGUGCGAGCGUUAAUCGGAAUUACUGGGCGUAAAGCGUGCGCAGGCGGUUUUGUAAGCCAGAUGUGAAAUCCCCAGGCUCAACCUGGGAACUGCGUCCGAUACUGGCAGGCUUGAAUCCGGGAGAGGGAUGUGGAAUUCCAGGUGUAGCGGUGAAAUGCGUAGAUAUCUGGAGGAACACCGGUGGCGAAGGCGGCAUCCUGGACCGGUAUUGACGCUGAGUGAAGCGAA
rnacentral:rRNA from 1 species